UACGUAGGUGGCAAGCGUUGUCCGGAUUUACUGGGCGUAAAGGGUGCGUAGGCGGACAUUUAAGGCAGAUGUGAAAUACCCGAGCUUAACUUGGGUGCUGCAUUUGAAACUGGGUGUCUAGAGUGCAGGAGAGGUAAGUGGAAUUCCUAGUGUAGCGGUGAAAUGCGUAGAGAUUAGGAAGAACACCAGUGGCGAAGGCGACUUACUGGACUGUAACUGACGCUGAGGCAUGAAAGCGUGGGGAGCAAACAGG
rnacentral:rRNA from 1 species